ensembl:snRNA U2 U2 spliceosomal RNA
AUCACUUCUCGGCCUUUGGGCUAAGGUCGUGUAUGAUAUGUGUUCUUAUCAGCUUAAUAUCUGAUCUGCCCUCUAUCUGAGGACAUAUAUUAAAUGGGUUUUGGGAUCUGGGAGAUGGAAUAGGAGCUUGCUGCAUCUGCUCCGCAUCAACCUGGUGCUGCAGUACCUACAGAAACAGUGGUACCACCU